ensembl:lncRNA
GCAUAAGGUAUAUUAAGGCUGUGUCAUUGUUCAGCCAAGGAAAAUGUCUCCAGCUUGGGAAGGUGUGAAGCUGCAGGUUCACACAGACCCGUGAUGGAUACAUAAUAAAAUAUAAACUAAUAUACUAUUGUAUAUUAGUAGUAAAGUAGUGUAUUGUAAUAUACUGUUGCUGUUAUAAAAAAGGAAAAACAAUACAAUGAUAACAUUAAUAAUGACAUACUAUUAAUAAGAAGAGGCACCUCAGUCAGUUAUGAUGUGAGGUGGAAGAUUGUUAAAAGUAGUCUGAUUCAAGCUUAAGGUUUGCUCAAACUCAGUACAGUGAUAUAUGAGAUAAAGAAAAUAAGGAAAUAACUACACUAAUCAGGUGCAUAGAGACACUUGACCUGCUUGUAAACCUGUCAUCUUAGAUGAGACUUUGUUAAGAUGAAGAGCAAACCUAUACUAACAACUAAUGAGCCACACCCUGUAUACAACAGCUAAAGCUACAGGUUUGAGAAGCUGAAUAAAAUGAAUUAA